UUACUGAGUUUACCUGCGCGAGCGCGUUUCCGCUGUAGCUUGCUUGCGACGCGAGCCGCCGCAACAAGUAUAUAUCCGACACUCAAGCUAUUGACACUACUAUAUUUCGAGUCCGUAGCCACUACGUGUUUCACACGUAUCGAUGUAUGUUCCCUUUUCCUGAAGUGCGAGGAAGUCAGCGACAAGCAGUUCAGGAAGCAAAGUAUUAAUAACUAGGAAUGCCAGUUCAUGUCAAGGAGGGCACAACAUAUAUAAGCACUGCUUAUCUCUAUCUCUUUGUACUCGCGCCUUUCGGGUCACCUCUCACCAAGAGCAAAUGCGUGACCGAUCGGUAUUUGAGUAGAAUAAGUUUAUUUGUAAAUCUUGUCCGUUAGCGGACUAAUAGUUUCGGCGUAAGUUUCGCAAAUUGCUACUCUAUUUGUUCAAUUCAAUAAAGUAAAUAAAGGCUUCAUGCCACUACAUAUUGUUAACAUAAAAUAAA